CCCUUUAUAGUAAUUUUUUACCAUUUUUUCGUAAUUUUUUCUAAUCUUUUACAAAAAUCUUCUCUUCUAAAACUAUUGGUCCAAAUUUAAUCAUAUUUGGCCAUAAUCAUCAUUGAGGUAUCUUGUUUAAAAAAUGUGUGCGGUGACCCUGCCAACCAACCAAGAUGGCCACCAUGGCUAAAAAUAAAACAUAGGGGUGAAAUGUAGAUUUUGUCUUAUAACUCUGAAACCAAAGCAUUAAGAGCAAUUCAGACAUGGGGGUUAAAUUGUUUUGCAAGUCAAGAUCUAUCUGCCCUGAAAUUUUCAGAUGAAUCCGACAACUGGUUGUUGGGUUGCUGCCCCUGAAUUGGAAAUUUUUAAGGAAAUUUACUGUUUUUGGUUAUUGUCAUUAAUAUUAUUAUAGAUAGAGAUAAACUGUAAACAGCAAUAAUGUUCAGCAAAGUAAGAUCCACAAAUAAGUCAACCUGACCAAAAAGGUCAGUUGACCCCUUUAGGAGUUAUUGCCCUUUAUAGUCAAUUUUUAAUAAUUUUGUAAAUUUUGUAAAUUUUUGUAAAUUUUAACAAAAUAUUUUCCUCUGUAACUAAUGGGCCAAGUUCAUUAUAAAUUGAGAUAAUUGUAAGAAGCAAGAAUGUUCAGUAAAGUAAGAUCUACAAACACAUCACCAUCACCAAAACUCAAUUUUGUCAUGAAUCCAUCUGUGUCCUUUGUUUAAUAUGCACAUAGACGAAG
rnacentral:lncRNA from 1 species